UCGCAAUCCGCCAACCGGUCAAGCCGUGUCGCGGAAGGUUUUUCAACCAGCCAAUGUCCAGGCAAACCCUGGAGCGAGGUGAGCG
rfam:Aquabacterium sp. NJ1 contig01, whole genome shotgun sequence.